rnacentral:rRNA from 1 species
UACGUAGGUGGCAAGCGUUGUCCGGAUUUACUGGGCGUAAAGGAUGCGUAGGCGGACAUUUAAGUCAGAUGUGAAAUACCCGAGCUUAACUUGGGUGCUGGCAUUUGAAACUGGGUGUCUAGAGUGCAGGAGAGGUAAGUGGAAUUCCUAGUGUAGCGGUGAAAUGCGUAGAGAUUAGGAAGAACACCAGUGGCGAAGGCGACUUACUGGACUGUAACUGACGCUGAGGCAUGAAAGCGUGGGGAGCAAACAGG